rnacentral:rRNA from 1 species
UGGGGAAUUUUGGACAAUGGGCGAAAGCCUGAUCCAGCAAUGCCGCGUGAGUGAAGAAGGCCUUCGGGUUGUAAAGCUCUUUUGUCAGGGAAGAAACGGUGAGAGCUAAUAUCUCUUGCUAAUGACGGUACCUGAAGAAUAAGCACCGGCUAACUACGUGCCAGCAGCCGCGGUAAUACGUAGGGUGCAAGCGUUAAUCGGAAUUACUGGGCGUAAAGCGUGCGCAGGCGGUUUUGUAAGUCUGAUGUGAAAUCCCCGGGCUCAACCUGGGAAUUGCAUUGGAGACUGCAAGGCUAGAAUCUGGCAGAGGGGGGUAGAAUUCCACGUGUAGCAGUGAAAUGCGUAGAUAUGUGGAGGAACACCGAUGGCGAAGGCAGCCCCCUGGGUCAAGAUUGACGCUCAUGCACGAAAGCGUGGGGAGCAAACAGGAUUAGAUACCCUUGUAGUCCCUGAGCGGGCUGGCAAGGCGCAU